rnacentral:rRNA from 1 species
AGCGAACGCUGGCGGCAGGCCUAACACAUGCAAGUCGAACGAACCUUUCGGGGUUAGUGGCGGACGGGUGAGUAACACGUGGGAACGUGCCUUUAAGUUCGGAAUAACUCAGGGAAACUUGUGCUAAUACCGAAUGUGCCCUUCGGGGGAAAGAUUUAUCGCCUUUAGAGCGGCCCGCGUCUGAUUAGCUAGUUGGUUGAGGUAAUGGUUCACCAAGGCGACGAUCAGUAGCUGGUCUGAGAGGAUGAUCAGCCACAUUGGGACUGAGACACGGCCCAAACUCCUACGGGAGGCAGCAGUGGGGAAUCUUGCGCAAUGGGCGAAAGCCUGACGCAGCCAUGCCGCGUGAAUGAUGAAGGUCUUAGGAUUGUAAAAUUCUUUCACCGGGGACGAUAAUGACGGUACCCGGAGAAGAAGCCCCGGCUAACUUCGUG